rnacentral:rRNA from 1 species
GACGAACGCUGGCGGCGUGCUUAACACAUGCAAGUCGAACGGAAAGGCCCUGCUUUUGUGGGGUGCUCGAGUGGCGAACGGGUGAGUAACACGUGAGUAACCUGCCCUUGACUUUGGGAUAACUUCAGGAAACUGGGGCUAAUACCGGAUAGGAGCUCCUGCUGCAUGGUGGGGGUUGGAAAGUUUCGGCGGUUGGGGUUGGACUCGCGGCUUAUCAGCUUGUUGGUGGGGUAGUGGCUUACCAAGGCUUUGACGGGUAGCCGGCCUGAGAGGGUGACCGGCCACAUUGGGACUGAGAUACGGCCCAGACUCCUACGGGAGGCAGCAGUGGGGAAUAUUGCACGAUGGGCGGAAGCCUGAUGCAGCAACGCCGCGUGCGGGAUGACGGCCUUCGGGUUGUAAACCGCUUUCGCCUGUGACGAAGCGUGAGUGACGGUAAUGGGUAAAGAAGCACCGGCUAACUACGUG